rnacentral:lncRNA from 1 species
CCAGGGAGUGUCCUGGUGACUUCUGGGUGGCCAGACCCCUCCUGAUCCCCAAUAUCUGUGCCCCUCCCUCCCACCGGCCAGCCAGUCAAACCACCAGGAUAACGCCUCAUAUACCCGGACUUCCGAUCUUAAAUUCAGAACCCUUGAUCUGGGACCCUCGUUCAUGAUUACAAAACCCAGGUCUGACAAGAAGGAAGUCAGGCUUCUGAAAGGAAGGCUUCGGAAAGUCUGUUGCUCUGAGCCUGGUGGGCAUGAAGACGGCCAGAGUAAGGCCAGCCCAGGUUCAAGAUGAGGGGGUAUCCCUAACUGCACCUACUUACCCAUGCAAAGCCAGUAUUUGAGGAAAAGGGACAAGAGGAAGCCAAGGAGACACUGACGCAGGACAACACACCUGUCUUGGAUACGGGUAACCAGAGGAAGUGGCAUGGCUCCUCUACACCUGACUUCUUUAUCUUCAAAAGAAAAUAAAACUGCUCCUCCCCCCAAAGGCGGUC